UACGUAGGUGGCAAGCGUUGUCCGGAUUUACUGGGCGUAAAGGAUGCGUAGGCGGAUAUUUAAGUCAGAUGUGAAAUACCCGAGCUUAACUUGGGUGCUGCAUUUGAAACUGGGUGUCUAGAGUGCAGGAGAGGUAAGUGGAAUUCCUAGUGUAGCGGUGAAAUGCGUAGAGAUUAGGAAGAACACCAGUGGCGAAGGCGACUUACUGGACUGUAACUGACGCUGAGGCAUGAAAGCGUGGGGAGCAAACAGG
rnacentral:rRNA from 1 species